rnacentral:rRNA from 1 species
GAAAAAUUAAUGAUUUAAGUCCUUCUUAAAUGAGGCCAUUUACCCAUAGAGGGUGCCAGGCCCGUAUAACAUUAAUGAUUAUUAGAAGAUAUUUCCAAAGAGUCGUGUUGCUUGAUAGUGCAGCACUAAGUGGGUGGUAAACUCCAUCUAAAACUAAAUAUAACCAUGAGACCGAUAGUAAACAAGUACCGUGAGGGAAAGUUGAAAAGAACUCUGAAUAGAGAGUUAAAUAGUACGUGAAACUGCUUAGAGGUUAAGCCCGAUGAACCUGAAUAUCCAAUAUAGAGAAUUCAUCAUUAAUAUAAUAAUUUUUAUUAUUAUAAUGGUGUGCAUUUUCUUUAUAUAAUGGACAUUGUAAUCUAUUAAUAUUAUUAUUUAUCAUAAGAUCAAUUGCAUAUGUUUAUUUUAAUUAAUUUGCUUUGGCUUUUUAAUAUAAAAUAAUUGCUUUUGAUUUGAUAAAGUAUUGAUAGAUUUAAUCAUAUGUAUAAUGCAUAUUUUCCAUAUGGAAUUUUAUAAUAAUAUUAUAAGCAUUUAUACGAUUUACAAUGCGAAAGAUUCAGGAUACCUUCGGGACCCGUCUUGAAACACGGACCAAGGAGUCUAACAUAUGUGCAAGUUAUUGGGAUAUUAAUAUAAAACCCAAAAGCAUAAUUAACAUAACUAUUUAAUGGGAUUAGUUUUUAAUUCUAUAUGAAUUAAUUAUUCAAUCCCAGGGCGUUCUAUACAGUUAUGUAUAAUGGCAUUUAUGCUAUUUAUACCUCUAACUAGAGCGUACCUUGAGCAUAUAUGCUGUGACCCGAAAGAUGGUGAACUAUACUUGAUCAGGUUGAAGUCAGGGGAAACCC